AAUAUAAGUUAUUAGGUUGAAAAGCUAUUGAUUAAAGUUUCAUGGUAUUUGAGUACUUAUUUUGUGAGAUAUGAAGAAAAUAGCAUGCAAAUAUAUGUAAGCUAGGAUUUAAAGUUAUUAUUAGAGUUUUGGUGAUAGCUCAAGAUCUAUAAUGAAUUUGUAAUUGAAUUUAUUUUAGUAUUUUUUAAAAUUAUAUUAAUACUUUGUAUAAAAUUAAGGAUUGUUUGGAUAGUUGGAUU
rnacentral:lncRNA from 1 species